UACGGGAGGCAGCAGUAGGGAAUCUUCCACAAUGGACGCAAGUCUGAUGGAGCAACGCCGCGUGAGUGAAGAAGGUUUUCGGAUCGUAUAGCUCUGUUGUUGGUGAAGAAGGAUAGAGGUAGUAACUGGCCUUUAUUUGACGGUAAUCAACCAGAAAGUCACGGCUAAUUACGUGCCAGCAGCCGCGGUAAUACGUAGGUGGCAA
rnacentral:rRNA from 1 species